rnacentral:rRNA from 1 species
GUGGCGACGAUGCGUAGGGGUUCUGAGAGGAAGGCCCCCCACACUGGGACUGAGACACGGCCCAGACUCCUACGGGAGGCAGCAGUGAGGAAUAUUGGUCAAUGGGCGGAAGCCUGAACCAGCCAAGUCGCGUGAGGGAUUAAGGCCCUGCGGGUCGUAAACCUCUUUUGCCGGGGAGCAGUGGUCCGGACGCGUCCGGGCCGGGAGAGUACCCGGAGAAAAAGCAUCGGCUAACUCCGUGCCAGCAGCCGCGGUAAUACGGAGGAUGCGAGCGUUAUCCGGAUUUAUUGGGUUUAAAGGGUGCGUAGGCGGGCAUUUAAGCCGGCGGUCAAAUGUCGGGGCUCAACCCCGGCCUGCCGUCGGAACUGGGUGCCUUGAGUGGGCGAGAAGUAUGCGGAAUGCGUGGUGUAGCGGUGAAAUGCAUAGAUAUCACGCAGAACCCCGAUUGCGAAGGCAGCAUACCGGCGCCCUACUGACGCUGAGGCACGAAAGUGCGGGUAUCGAACAGGAUUAGAUACCCUGGUAGUCCGCACAGUAAACGAUGGAUGCUAUCUGUCCGGGCCGAAUGAGGCCUGGGUGGC